UAUGUUCACGAGAGAGGAAUAUUGAAUUUCAUUUCAAAACCCGACAAGUUUAAAUAGAACUGAUAGAACCGGUUUCUUAAUAGAUUCUCGAUUUAAAACAUUCGCUAUUUACUUGGCGUUCAUCGAUAUGUACGAUUUCUCGUCUCAUUGCUCGUAUUUUAUUUCUCCGAAAAGCAGAAAGAAAAUGAGAGAGAGAAAGGGAGGACGAUCGCUAUCCGAUCGAUAUACACGAAUCUGCAUCAGGUAAAUGGACUUUUCAAGUUCGGGAUUUUGUCACGAGACUCAUCCUCCCAUUUUCUCUAGUUUUUCGCAAAGAUCAUUUUCGCGUUACAUCGGCGAUCCUUUUGGUUUCGUUCAGUCGAAUCGAAACGGAGCACCGUUUAUCGGGAAAGGUUCGAUUCAAGAAAAAGCAAUUUUCUUUUAUGGUACGCGAAGCCGCUAUUUGCUUUAAUCUUCGAACGUAAACGAAGAAGAGAGAAAAAGAGAAAAGAAAAAGACGAGUGGUUAUCGGCUUAACGAUAAACUUUAUUCUCCAUGUCAGUUUAUUGGACCGCCGGCGCGUUUCGGUACGAUAGCUCCUGGGUAUCUUCGUUUUCUUUAACGAUGCAUCGAGCUCGAUUAAUUGCCACGCCAAACGUGAAAUAUUGCACAAAGCGUAAAUACUAGAUACUGGUAAGCUUAUGAUAAGAACUUUGCUGCGUUAUAAUCUCUCUCUUUCUCUCUUUCUCUCAUUCACUCACUCGCUCGCUUUUUCGAGGGCCUCGAAGACAAUCGUUCAUUUGCGUGAAGCGAACGCCACGACUAAAUUACAACCUUCGUUGGUAUAAUAAAUGUGUGGACGACCGUUACACCGCGCAAACUUAAUGGCCAAGUCAAAUUAUAAGGAUAAGAUAACGGACUGGCAUUCGUCGUAAUAUUCGAGUAACACGACUUACAUAAUAAUAACAAUAAUAAGAAAAUUGUCGAUAAUGGCCUUAACUCGUCUUUUUUUUGUCUUCGUUUCUUCAACUUCUUAUCUUUUCUUAACGCUCGCAAAAGUUUGGAAAGAGGCGCUCGGGUUAACGUGAAAACGCGAACCAACGACUCGGUAUAUAAAAUGAACUUUGGCUUCGGAGUAAAGUGGUCGAUUCCUAUGGCUUCCUUCACCAUAUAAUGAACUUUACGAGCGUUGCACCGUGAUUUCCGUAAAGCGCUAAUCAUUGGUGAAUCGGUCAAUCAUAACAGUUUUACGAGCGGCUCGAUCAUGCCGCUACUGCAAUUUUCAUCGUGAUUCAGCGUCGUAUUAAGCGUGCGUUACAUCUUUCGUGUAUAUUCUUACGUCCUUUUCCCCGACUCGAUUUCUUCUCCUCCGUUCUUUCUCUCCGUCUCUCGUCCAUUUGAAAACCACACAUUACCGAGAAAGAACGUGCGCUCUAAGUUAGAAUUUGCACGAGUAAUUUGACUUCGAGCUUAAGAAUAUUGGCAAAGAAUGAUACGCGAAUACAUCUAUUCGCUUUAUCGCGCUAUUAGGUGAUACAAGAGAAGAACCAGUGAGAUAAGAGGAUAGGGAAAUUGAAGACGUUCGUUCGACUUGGCCCUCCUCGUUUCCGUUUUUUUCGUUUGAGUUUUAUGGUUAUGGUUGGAAAAAAGGGGGGGGGGUUGGAGGGACUAAACGAUGAUGACUGUGACACGAGCAGGGUUCGACGGAGUGCUUGGAUUUCGACUACUAACGCUCGUAGGGAUAGCAGAGGUUGAGAGAGGAAAUUGGGGGGGUGGAUGAGUAUAGGAGGGAGAAGACUCGCCAGUUUCGUUUCUGCCUCUGGCACAGCGCGUGCCGCUUUGACGCCAGAUGGCUUCGAAGGAGCGACAGAGACAGCACCAUCGCCUUCUUUCCUUCCUUCCUUCCUUCCUUCCUUCCUCCCUCUUACCCUCCUCCCACGUUUUUGCCUCUUCCUCUCUCUCCUGAUUCUAUAUCGCACUUACAAGAGUACGGAUGGUUAUGUAAAGGGGAGAGAGAAACGCGAUAUGCCGGAUAUCAAGUAAAAUCGAAGUAAAAUUCUGCGUGUUUUAGCUUGAGAAAAAAAAAUAAAUGCCGAUUCCUCUUCAUUUACAAUUCUUACAUUAUAAUAUUUACAAUAGUCGCAUUUAAAUUUCGAUCAUCGACUAAUGUGUUCUUAGAUCGUAUUAAUUGACCCAGUGGCAUUACUGCAUUGUCUUUUCUUUUUUUCUUUUCCUUUUUCUUUUGCGACGCUAUUUUCCGUAAUUAUGAAGGUAGCUUAUAAAAGAUGCGUUUUAAAAAUCAAUAUCAAAAGGCCAAACGAAUAGAGUCAAAUUCCCAAGCGUGAUGUAUUGUAAAUCAAAAGGGGACAAUAGAACAUCGCGAUUCGUAUUAUGUACGCGCAUGAUGACAUACGAAUCAGCAAUGAGAGGAUGAAUAUGAGGGAAGUUGGAGUGGAAGGGUGGAGGGGGAUGGAUUCCUAAAGAACGCGCGUAACAACGUGUGACGGAUUUUUCCAACGAAGGCGCAGUCAAGGCAAGAGCACGAGGCAAGUUGGAAAAGGAAAGACAUCAGCAGCAGCAGCAUCAGCAUCAGCAGCAGCAUCAGCAUCAGCAUCAGCAGCAGCACGGCGUCAGAGAGACUCUCCUCUUCCUCCCCCCACUUUUCCUUCUUCUACCCCUCGUCGUAUGCUUUCUGUCUCGCUCGUUCGCGCGUUAGCCGAUCUCGGUCGAAGCACGGUAAACGUACUCGGGGUAGCUUAGUAGUGGGGGUAAGGGCCGUACGGAGACGUACGAAGCACGUCGAACUCCGUUCGGCUCGGUUCAGUCGCGUACGAACCGCAGUCGACGACGCGUCGCUGUGCGUCGAGAAAUUUGAAGAAACGUGAACGAGCGUACCUACGUGUAGAAGAGAGAGAGAUAGAGAUAGACACAGGGACAGACAGAGUGGGGGAGGUCGCGUGAUAUAAAGGAAGCGUGCGCGAGUGCGACUGGCGAUAAACUACAAGUGACACCAACGAUCGUUCGUCGAGAAUGGAUUUUUUCGAGGAUUCACGAGACUUUUCGAGGAGUAUCGGAGCAAAGCGAGCGCAAGCGCGAGCGUAGGCGUCGUCGUCGAGAGGACCCGACGGCCAACUCGACUCUUUUUUCUCCUCCUCCUUUUCCUCCUUCUCUUAUUUCUCCUUCUCCUUUUACUUCUCCUCUUACUCCUACUCGAUUUUCGCGUGAGCCGCACGUUUUACCCUUGCACCAGCGUUACGCAGUCUCGCGCGUGAAAAUAUAUAUUCUCGUUGCCGGCAGCCGGCGAGGCGUUCAGUCAAUUAGCCCGUAAUGCCGCGACCUGCCGCGUCGGUCUCGGCCAAUUAAGUGGUGAUUAGUGCAUCGGCUCUCCCUCAAUACUUCACCAAUCCGCCACCAUCCUCGUCGUUUCUCCUCUACCUGACUUUACCUACUUUCCCUAUUUGGUCUUUACGAGAGAGAUUACCCCAUAUCGUUUCCAUUUUCCUUCUUUCCAUUAUUCCCUUGUAUUUCUAUUUCUCACUUUCCUCCCUUUCUUUUUUUCGAUCGUCGAAGGUCGAAACGACCUAGAAAAUGUGUUAAAGACAUAACGUAGUAUUAUUCUCGAUAUCGAAGAUUGUAAAUCAUCCAAACAACUAGACCAAAGGAGUGGGGGAAUGUUUCUGAGAAAUACACGAUCAUUCUGAGCUUCAAGAACGUUCAACUUAACGAACUAAAACAAAAGUUUUGUAUCUCGAAGUAGCGUGAAAAUUUUGUUUUCUUUCUGAGAAAGAGAGAGAGAGAGAGAGAGAGAGAGAGAGAGAGUAAGAAGAAAAAGUGUGUUGUGGACGUAAAGAGUACUACGCGACCUAUCGAAGAAAGGAACUACGCGAGAAGAGUGAAAAAAAUGCGCCUCGAGGUCACGAAGGAAAACAAGCCUCGUGGCACCUUCUUUUUCUUCUUCUUCUUCUUCUUGUAGCUUCGGGAGGAGGAUCUCGUUGAAAGAGGGAGGUGGACUGUGAGAAAAGUGGCACGAUGGAGUUCCGGGCGCCACAUCCGCUCUUGCAUCCCUCCCACGCUGCUGGACAUCCUUACUAUUAUCCAGGUACGUAAAUUUGACGAGCGAUAAGAUAUAGAAAAUGCAUAGCCAUAAAUCGUAAGUUAUCAUAUAUCUUUCGUAAUUCAUCUUUGUAAGUAAAAAAAAGAAGAAAAAAUUUGAAAAAAAAGAAAAAUAUAUACCGAACGUUUUGAAACGAUAUCUCGUUGCAUACGAAAACAUGACGUUAUCGUCACACGUUUUUCUCUCCAUAGCAGAAUCGUUUGUAUAAAUUACUAGGGAUAUGUAAAGAGCUACGAUGAAAUAUGAAAGAACUGAACUAUCUGCGGAGCAUCGCGUAGCAAAAAGAAAAGUACAUUUUUUCAGAACCGUUUACGCAGCUUCGUAUUGGUUUGCAUGAAUGAAUACGGAAUCAGGAAAAAAAGAAAUAUCCUUCGAAAUUGCGAUUUGAUUUGUAAAUAUUCGUCGAAGGAUAUACGUCGAGCUUCGUUUCAAACGUCAUUAAAGCAAGAAAAUAAUUUUCUCGUUGGAACAACGAUUAAAAAAAAAAAAAAAAAGAAAGAAAGGAAGAAAAGAAAAAACAAAAAGGAAGAGAGAAAAAGAAGAAGAAAAUGAAAAAAGUCUUCGUGCUCGCGAGACAACGUUUUCUUUCGUGUAAAAUCACGAGAGUGGAAGAGGAAGCUCGGCUGUUAGAGAAAAAAAGAGAGAGAGAAAGAGAGAAAAAGAAAAAGGAAUAGAAAAGCGAGAGAGAGAAAAAAAUAGAAAGAGAACGAAUCGAGAAAAAAAAAGAUGAUCAGUGGUAAGCACACAGUCGUAAUGAUUUCAUGGCAGAGCGAUUAUUCCAGCGGCAAGCUUGUAGUACACCGAGCGCGAGAUGAGAGCCGAAGGGAGGGUUGGAGGGAAUGGAUGAGGGAUGUGCUCUCUCGCACGCACCGUCGCCCCCGUAAUCGCGGUUAAUUAACGACCCAGAGCCCGGUAACGAGGCUGCCGAUUGCUAGGCGCACAUCGACCGCGAUUAUUCCAGCUCGCCGAUCGCCGAUCCGAUUGUCAUCGUUACAUACCCCUUUUUCGUACUUCGCUACUUUUUUUUUUUGAACUUCCUCUCUUCUUUUUCUUCUUCUUCUUCUUCUUCGUUCCUAUUGUAAAUUUACAUACUUGGUGGAAAGCAAAGUAUCGAGCUUGAAGGGAAAAAAAAUAAAAGAGGAAAAAAAAGAAAAGUUUUUAAGAAGUUCAAUUUGAUCGGUUCGUGGUACAAGUUGUAUCGAAGGUGAUAUCCCAAGAAAGCUUUCAAAAGUGACGUUACUUCGUGAGAGAUCGAACAACGAAAACGUGAACUUUGAUACGAGCAAAGUUACGCGAUAAAUCGGAUAAAAUGAUAAUACUCAAAGUGCCACUUUCUUCGUCUCUUUGACUAUAAUUCGAUGGAGAAAAGUACGAGAUGGGAAUCUUCUAAAUUUUCUAACGAAUCACAGCGAGAGAGAGAGAGAGAGAGAGAGAGAGAGAGAGAGAGAGAGAGAGAGAGAGGAGACUAUUGGAGCUGCGAAUAAACGCUGGGAUUUCUUUCCCAUGCUAAGGGAAGGUUUUUCCUUCGGAUAAAUGUGUUUCCCGAGCGACGAGUGAUUAAGGAGGACGACGUCUCUAUCUCUGCCGCUUGAAAAGGGAUCGCUAAAGGACCUCUCUUUCUCGAACUUUAACCAACAGAUUCCUUCUUCUUUCUCUUUCAAGAGAAGGUGCGGCUUUUAAAUCUCGAUCCGCGUCGUUUCCCCGUCGGAAGAACAGCUACCGGUCUUUCUUCGAGAAAACGAUAGGGAAAGGAAGUACGGUGAGCCAGAGAAGUAGGGAUGAAAGAGAGAAGGAAGGAGAAAAAAGAGGGUGAUCGAAGAUAGGAGAGUAGGAGGAGACGUAAGUCGGCAGGGUAGAUACCUUCUUUACUAGCUAAGCCGAAGAUUUUUCUCUCUGUCUUUGUCUCUCUCUCUUUCUCUCUCAGGCUUUAUUAAAAAUGUCUUUUAGAAAUGUGGUAGAACGUAUCUGUGGAAGGGUGCGAAGGAUAAUACGUAAAAGGAUCCUCGGACUAGACAGGGGAAGGGAAAAAUGGGAAAGAACACAAGGUGAAAUUUUUCUCGAUCUGUCUUCACGAACCGAGGAAAGCUGCGUGGGAUCCGAAGAAAGAGAAAAGAGAGGGAGGGUGGAUUAAUCUCGCAAAACGACGUGAAGGAGUCUUCUUGCUUAUUCUUGUUCCUUCAUUCAUCUCUCUUGCUCUUUCGCCAGCACGAGGAUCAGACGUUAUUAGAGCGUAUUAAAGUCCUGACAACGGCCAGAGAAAGUUUUCUACUUUCCUCUUGCUUUUCGGUACGUGCCUUUUCCUUUUCUUUUUUUUUUCUUUUUUUUUCUUUCCUUUUUUUCUUUUUCCUUUGUUCUUUUCUCACAGUCGAAUAAUUUUUUGUCCUCGCUUUCUACUUUCAAUGUAUAGGUAUAUAUCGCUUGAAUAUGAUUUCAUUUCUUCGUUUAUCGUCGCGCCGUCUCUGAGAGAAACGCUAUAAUAGCGAGAGAGAAAGAAAAAGAACAUUCCUUCAAAAAGUCGGACUACUUUUGGUUUGAGGACUUUUUCAAAAGUUUAAAGCCGAGACGACAGUGCUUUUCUCGGCUUAAAAGAGACGCGAGUCGUACGAACUAUUUUGCUCGCAAGUAAAGUUUCCUCUUGGUUGUCUCUUGAAAAUCUCAAAAGCAAGAUUUCACAACGAUACCUAAUCUUUUCUUUCCUUAAAGUUCAUCGUGCGUUUACUCGCAACUUCGAGAGACAGAAAAAGAGAAAGGAGGAGAGAAAAAAAACUAUAGAUAUAUAACAUAAAAUCGAACGAAUUGCAAUAAAUUUCUGUCUCAGCGGCACCUUGUAAACUCACUGACAAGAAAGACAAGGUCGAAUCAAGGAUGGUUCUUAUCGCAAGGGACUGAGUUCGAGGACGAGGAGGAGGAUAUCGAUUGCUUACCUUCUAGUUAACCUCGCGCGACCCUUCAUUCCCAGUCGCCUUUGUUAUCGGGCAUUUACGGAGGAACGGCACUCGGCCUCGUAUUUCUUUCUCUCACCCUUCGGCAACGAACACAAGCACCAACACGAGCACCCGACACUCACCGACCAACCAUCCGCAGCUCUCGGUGUCGCGAUAAGCUGGAAGGUUGACACGACACAAGCACGCUCGAAACUUCUUACCUCGUACGUACACGCGUAAAUUGGUGUCAACCGUCGUUAAAAUCACUUCAAAUAUAUCCAUCUCAAUAUACAUAUAUAUAUAUGUGCAAGAUCUUUCGAGUUUUCAAUUCGAUGAAGAUUCUUUGUCACGUUUUUAUACAUAACAAAAUGUUCGCCGAGAUAUUUUUCUUUUUUAAGUAAUGUACGCAUUUUAAGAUCGAUAUUUUUUAGAAUGAAACAAUCUCCUCCGUAUUUCCAAAAGUUAACGUUAGCUUCAACGUCUUACGCGAAAGUAGUUCACGAAGGUGCGAUAUAAUUCAGUGGCUCUUAUCUUCUCGACCAUGAAUUCGCGUUUUGGAGAAGAUUGGCGGCACCUUUCGACCCCGAUGAUACUUCAACUCAUUAAUAUUAAUUAGCGAUGGUGACAUUAUGUCGUUCUAAAUAUUUGAUUAGUCUAGAUACCCUAGAACGAGGUGGAGAGGAAUAGAAAUGGUAGUUUGCUCCGUGCUGCUAAUCACUCUUCAAGUUCGUUCCGGUAACGAAAUUGGUUCGUUCCGACGAGAAAAAUAAUUACCCGAAAAUAGAAAAGUUUACCACUUAAUUUCGUUACCCUGUUAUAUCAGAAAGAUUUGAAAAAGUCCAUACUUUAGUUUGAUCAAUAUGCCAACGAGUUCUGUAAUCUCGACUGUUGUAAAAAAUGUUUCUCAACAAAUCCGCUGGCCCCCUUCUGAAAGAGAGAGAAAAAAAAAGCAUAUUACCACAAGCGAGUUUGCGAUCGAUCUUUACCAUUGACACUUCGAUAUUCGUUUCGAAGUGCUCGGUAUAGGAAAGAAGUAUAAGAAAAAGGGGAACGAGGUUCGAAAUCGAGAAGGGAGAGUCGGUCGUUGAAGGAGGGCCGUACGAAGGAAAUUGGAGGCUUCUCGGCGAACAUAUUGCCCUCUCAAUCCUCUUCAGAGCAACCCCUACAGACCUACGCGGGAAUGAGAUGGUUCAACCCUCCUACGUUGAAGCUAACGGUAGCAGCAGCAGCAGCAGCAGCAGCAGCAGCAGUAGAAGAGGAGCUAUUUGUGGAGGUGGGAAGGAAGAGGGAACGAGCAACGGCACAUGGUUGGGUUUAAAGCCAGGCAACUAGUUUCGCAACUACUCAGCCCACUUGGACUACCCUUCUCCUUUGGUAUGUGUACCGAGCGUAGGAGAGAGAAAAGGGAAGAGCGCUGAAUGUGCUGCUGGUACGCGGAGCGCGGAGUUGGAAGGAGAUGAAAGAUAUGUUAGUGGCGAAGUUGAAAGAGAACGAGAGUGUGGCUGAAGUAGAUGAGUGGUGUUGAUGGUGGAGGUGGAAAAGAGAGAAGCCGGUUGCUUUCCGUGCGUUACCGUUGGUCCCAACAACGGAUCAGAAUGGCCCUACCGGAAAGGGGUCGGUUCGGGUUGGUUCCGGCUCUGCCGUGGACGGAAAUGAAAGAGGCCGAGCCGUUUGGACAAACACUGCUAUCCAGCAGUACUAGCACUAACGCUAGCACUAUCAUCGUCAAGCUGCCUGCUCACCAGCUAAACUCGCACACACCACCGACAACUCGAACUUUCGUAAUGAAGCCAACGCCGAGUAUGUUUACUCGGUGCAUUUGUUGGGAGUCAAACGGGUACCGACCAUCGCACCGACUAAUGCGCUUUCAAGAAAGGGAUGCUCGAAUCUCUUCCUGCCUAUGGAAGGAUAGUUCUCGUUAAUUUGGCCGAACCUAUGCAAAUCGUUGCGCUUCCUAUAUAUUUCGAAAUGUUCGUUCGCGUGUUUAACUACAUUUUCGUUGACUUCUUCAACGAUUUUAGUUUAUUAUUUGACGUAAUUACUAUACUAUACGUGUACUUUUCUACAUCAAGGGCUACCUCGCGUGACCGUCACCGCACACACGCGAUAGAAUUUUAUCAAAGACCGGAAGAGUCCUUGGAGUUGAUUUACCGAAGAGCUUCUUCCUUCUUCCUUAUCUUAGCGGCGUGCUGCGAUGAAAGAAGGAAAAAGGGUGUGAGUAACUUGGUUGAGUUACUUAGGGUGGACGUAGGUAUCCAUAAAAGCAACGAUCUCACUUUAGUAGCGCCCGUUAAAUCGGUCAACCAAGUUCCAACCGGUUUUCAACUUCUUCUUACUCUCUUCGUCCGACGGAAAAUUGCUAAUGGUUUCUGCUUGGGUUCUUUGAAAAGGGCAAAACCAACCGGUGGAGAGAAGCUUUCCUGCUCGCACUGUGUUUUCAGUAGACGAUCGACCCAAAGAAAAAGGUGCAAGGAAAAGAAAGAGGGAAUAAUGUCGUUUGCUUCUAUACUCUUCACCCGAUCCUCUCUCUCUCUCUCCCUCCUCCUCUUUUUUCUCUUUUUAUUUUCUUUCUUUUUUUCCUCGUCCCAGUCCAUUCCUACUCUUACAACGAACACCUUCUUUAUCAGCAGACGCUGUUAGCUUUAUCAACGAACGCUUCCUUCCGCCGGUUGUGCGUCGUAAAAAGCAGUAGGAACGGUGGACGGGGGAUGAACUUUCGCAAGAAAGGAAGAAAUUAUCCUCCCGUUAGUUGCGAACCGGUGGAAUUCUUUCCACGCGCAAGAAUCAAGAAUACUCGGAUAACGUCGCGUGAAAAUAUGUCUCCUCUGAUAAUGAAGUCGCAAAGAUUCUUUUUCGCAAUGUUGCUUUUUUCUCUUUUUUUUUCCUGUUUUUUUUUCUCGUUACCUUUUUUACUUUGCAAGUUUUCAUGCGAAAUUAUUUUCUAUACUCGCCGAGCGUACGAAACUUUUCCUUUUUUUUACAUAUAGUAUUGAGGAAAGUACACUUUUGAAAGUAUUUCAAAAUGCAUCAUUUAUUUAUUUCUUUUUUGUUUCUCUUGCAUCGAUGAACCCAUUUUAUUAUCUCGAAGAAAAAAUGUCGAUAGAACGUUGAACAAAAAGAAGGGUGCUUUUCAUAUACGCUUCGAUGAACGGAGAUCGAAACAUAACAAUUACUUGGAACAAGCGGUAGAUUCGCUUUUCUACCAUGAAAAACAUAGUACUUACUCGACCGCCCAUCCAGUGGUAAAGCCAUGGCAAUAACCUUCCUCCUUACGUGUCGUCUCUCUCGUUUUCCGAAUCUAUGUGCACAUAUACAUAUAUACGUGAGCUUGAAGAGCUCGUUGACCUCGAACCAACCCAACUUGUUCUAAUAACGAGACGACAAGCUACUGGAAGCGAACUUUAUGUUCAAUUUCUUUUUCACGGCUUGUAGAAUCGUAAGGGUUGAGUUUCGUACCAUAAAGAAUUGCUUGAAAAUAAAAUAACACGAAAAUAAAAGAGAAAAAAGUAUACAUCGUAUUGAUUUUCAACAAAUAAUUAUUUAUAACAAUUGUACAUAUUUAUUAAUAUUUGAAAAGUUAACAAGCAUCAAUAUCAUUUGUUUUUAUUUUGUUUUCUUUCACGUAAAAUAGAAUAUCUCGUGUUUUAAUGCAUAAAAUUCGUAUUGUUCGGUACAUUUGUAAUGGAUUGACCGUCACCAGAGUUCCGACGUAGAAUUAACGCAGCCUUGUAAAACGAUCAAACGAGUGAGCACGUAAGUACGCUUGUAGACGUACAAACAUACGUUUCACGUAGGUACGAGAAGCCGCCAUGAAGGUAUCGAUACGUGACCGCACAUAUGUUCACCGGGAACCCUCGACCCCCGAGCAAAAGAGGCAGAGAGAGAGAGAGAGAGAGAGAGAGAGAGAGAGAGAGAGAGAUAAAUAGAGAUACAGGCGAGCGUAGGUACGUGUGUGCAUGUUUGAAUUAUACGAUCGCCAUAGAAUCCACGACUAUAUCGCGUGCGGUUAACUGAUACACAUAUUGCCUUCCGUUUACGAGCUAGCACGUGCACGAACACGCACGCGCGUAAUGCUCGCAAACGAUACGUGUAUGUGUGUGUGUGCGUAUGUAUGUAUGCUUGCGAGAGAGGUAGAAAGCAUUGGAUGGAAAGCUGUGGAGGGAUCACAAUCAACCCGCUCAUGCAUUCUAGAUUUCGACCCCUUUAAUACAUACUCGCAUGUACGUGUAUAUACGUGCACAUAGUCACAGAACACAUUCUGUACAUGUUGGUCGAUCAGGAAAGAGAGUGCGUGUCGUGUUUGAGAGGGAAAGGAGGGGGAUUGAGGUGGGUUGACGACGAUGCUCGAACAGGCCAAUGUUGGCUGAAUUUCGGUGCAAAAUGGGGAGUUGGUGGACUUCUCGUGGAAGAUACCACGUGUUGCUGGAAAUUACUACCAGCAACGAGAGGCCACGUUCCGUGACCGACAGACUCAUUCGAAGGUGUGCGUGAAACGCGUUUGACUGUUCAAGUUGGUAGCCCGAGCAAGCAUAUGGCACGAUGUCGAAUACGAUCGCGUAAGGUUAAUCGGAUUUUCGGGUUGGACUGGGUGAUCGUUUCAGUUUGAUGAUCGUCCGGAGAGAGAUAAAAAGAAUUUGUGAUCGUGUUCAGGGGGUAAAAAUUGUACUAGGAAGGGUUGCUUGAACAGGUUAAUUUUUUUCUUUUCUUUUCCAUUUUUUACUUUUUUGUCUAGGAAAUUACAAACAAUUUGUUAUUACUUAGUAUAAUGAAUGAUUUGAAUUGCGGUGUUAUCAGUAAACAUUAUUGUAAGCGUGCCUGCGAAUACUAAUUAUAGACAUAGAAAAAAUUUAUUGUACAAGUUAAUUCGCCUUUUCAAUGGUUAAUAAGGCAAAUGUAAUUAAAGAAAUUAAUCAUCAUGUAUAUAUGAAGACAAUGAA